UACGUAGGGUGCAAGCGUUAAUCGGAAUUACUGGGCGUAAAGCGUGCGCAGGCGGUUUUGUAAGUCUGACGUGAAAGCCCCGGGCUCAACCUGGGAAUUGCGUUGGAGACUGCAAGGCUUGAAUCUGGCAGAGGGGGGUAGAAUUCCACGUGUAGCAGUGAAAUGCGUAGAGAUGUGGAGGAACACCGAUGGCGAAGGCAGCCCCCUGGGUCAAGAUUGACGCUCAUGCACGAGAGCGUGGGGAGCAAACAGG
rnacentral:rRNA from 1 species